GACGAACGCUGGCGGCGUGCUUAACACAUGCAAGUCGAACGGAAAGGCCCUGCUUUUGUGGGGUGCUCGAGUGGCGAACGGGUGAGUAACACGUGAGUAACCUGCCCUUGACUUUGGGAUAACUUCAGGAAACUGGGGCUAAUACCGGAUAGGAGCUCCUGCUGCAUGGUGGGGGUUGGAAAGUUUCGGCGGUUGGGGAUGGACUCGCGGCUUAUCAGCUUGUUGGUGGGGUAGUGGCUUAUCAAGGCUUUGACGGGUAGCCGGCCUGAGAGGGUGACCGGCCACAUUGGGACUGAGGUACGGCCCAGACUCCUACGGGAGGCAGCAGUGGGGAAUAUUGCACAAUGGGCGGAAGCCUGAUGCAGCAACGCCGCGUGCGGGAUGACGGCCUUCGGGUUGUAAACCGCUUUCGCCUGUGACGAAGCGUGAGUGACGGUAAUGGGUAAAGAAGCACCGGCUAAUUACGUG
rnacentral:rRNA from 1 species